CAGCCGCCACGGUAAUACGGAGGGGGCUAGCGUUGUUCGGAAUUACUGGGCGUAAAGCGCACGUAGGCGGCUUGGUAAGUUAGAGGUGAAAGCCUGGAGCUCAACUCCAGAAUUGCCUUUAAGACUGCCGAGCUAGCAGGUGAGAGAGGUAAGUGGAAUUCCGAGUGUAGAGGUGAAAUUCGUAGAUAUUCGGAAGAACACCAGUGGCGAAGGCGGCUUACUGGCUCAUACUGGACGCUGAGGUGCGAAAGCGUGGGGAGCAAACAGGAUUAGAUACCCCAGUAGUCCCUGUCUCUUAUAA
rnacentral:rRNA from 1 species